ensembl:lncRNA
UUUCAAGAAGGGUGUUUGUUUUAUUACUGGUCCACCAACACAACAGGUACAGGACCACAAAAGCAGCCACAAGAAAACAGGAACGCAGUCUAGUAAAAACAGAGGAAACACACUCCUCUACUAAACUGACGUGGGAAAAACAGUCCUGAAAAUAAACCUGCUUAACAGUAAAAAAUAAUGCAACCCAAACCAACGACAGUAUCACAAACAAUCCCGCACAAAACCUAGCGGGUAGGGCAAGAUUAAAUACCCCGCUGAUUAGCUAAACUAGACACAGGUGAACACAAGACAGACAAAACCAAAUGAAAAAGAAAAGGGAUCGGUGGCAGCUAGUAGGCCGGCGACGACGACCGCCGAGCACCGCCCGAACAGGGAGAGGAGCCACCUUCGGGGGAAGUCGUGACACUAUGCCAGAAAGAGUAUCCAACCUAGCAGUGCCUGCUUUCACUUACAUCAGGGGUGGGAGGAGAAAAGAGUCAGGGCUACCAAUCGAUUUGUUUGAUUCGCCUCCAAAAGGUAAAUAAGGCAAAUCGGGAGCCAAUUAAAUAAUUUGGGGCAAUCAGGAAGUCUCCCUGUAGACUACAGGAGGACAGUGAGGUUGAUGAGAAUAGUGUUUUCUUAGACACCAGCUGUGAAUGGAAAUCAAUGCUAAUAAUGAACCUGCAAGAUUGGAGUAAAGUGUUUGGGCUCUGAAAAACACAGAGGAAUGGAACACCCUCAGGAGGAUGGGUUGAACAACUAGACUAACAUUAGAUUUGUAUAUAAACUUAUAAAUAAACGUUACUUCUUUUUGAAUCACUUCAGGUUCCCCACAGUAGGAUUCUUUCAAUUUAAAGAGCUACACUUCCCUACGUAUGUAUUUGGAGAUUGAAGCUAAAACUUUUAAUUUGGCUCUAUACUCCAGCAUUUUGGAUUUGAGAUCAAAUGUAUUUCUAUCACGUAAUGACUACAUCAAGAUAGUGGCUCUACAAACUAAUUGGAUGCGUUUUCAGUUUGUUUUGGUUGUGUUUCAGAUUCUGUUGUGAAUGGUAAAUAAUGUAGUGUGUAAUUUUGGACUCUUUUUUUGUAAAUAAAUCAACUUUUUUUGUAAAUAAGAAAACAAUAUUUUUAUGAACAAUUCUACAUUAAUGGGGAUGCUACCAUGACUACAGAUAAUCAUAAAUAAUGAUGAGUGAGAAGGUUAUAAAGGCAUAAAAAUCAUACCCCGCAUAAAAUUCUAGCCUCAUCUGUUAAUGGUGAGAGGUUACCAUGUUUUGGGGGCCUUUUCCUACUAGAACUGACAAAUGCACUAAUUGUAAGUCCCUCUGGAUAACAGCGUCUGCUAAAUGACAAUUUUUUUGUUUAAGAAGUCAUUCAUUUUAUCUCAAAUACAAAAUGCUGGAGUAUAGAGCCAUAUAAAAUGUUUCAGCAUCACUGUCCAAAUAAAUACGUAGGGGAGUGUACAUGACAAGAGGACCAGCUAUAGGUGAUCAACCAGUUUAAUUGAAAUCAUAAUGAUUACUCUAGAAGAAUAAAGCAAGUGAUUAAAUUAGUGAUGCUCCAUAAAUAGGGAGAGUUAGUGGGCUAUAUAUACUCUGUCUCAACAUACAGGACGCAGUAGCAUAAUAUUGCAUAAGAGGAGAGGACCUGCCCAUGGACAAAGUGGGUCAUGACUCAUGCCUUUCAGUAGCACUACUUUACACUACGAGGCUCAGGGGAGAUGAAGGUGAAAGUUGCCUUUGACAGACGACAACACCUUUGAAAUUCUCAGAAGAAAGAAGGAGCAAUUUCUUUGAAGAAAUGUAAACUGGACAAUGACGUAAUUUGAGAUUGUCGUCCACAGCUGAGAUAUACAGUGCCUUCAAAAAGUAUUUAGACCCCUUGACUUUUUCCACGUUUUGUUACGUUACAGCCUUAUUCUAAAAUAGUUGUUUUAUUAUUAUCCUUUGCAAUCUACACACAAUACCUCAAUGACAAAGCGAAAAGUUUGAGCAAAUGUAUUCAGACCUUUUCUAUGAGACUUGAAAUUGAGCUCAGGUGCAUCCUGUUUCCAGUUGUUCAUCCUUGAGAUGUUUCUACAACCUGAUUGGAGUCCACCUGUGGUAAAUUCAAUUGAUUGAACAUGAUUUGGAAAGGCACACACCUGUCUAUAUAAGGUCCCACAGUUUACAGUGCAUGUCAGAGCAAAAACCAAGCAAUGAGGUCAAAGGAAUUAUCCGUAGAGGUCAGAGACAGGAUUGUGUCGAGACACAGAUCUGGAGAAGGGUACCAAAAAAUAUCUGCAGCAUUGAAGGUCCCCAAGAAAACAGUGACCUCCAUCAUUCUUAAAUGGAAGACGUUUGGAACCACCAAGACUCUUCCUAGAGCUCGGUACCCGGCCAAACUGAGCAAUCGGGGAGAAGGGCCUUGGUCAAGGAGGUGACCAAGAAGCCGAUGGCCACUCUGACAAAGCUCCAGAGGUCCUCUGUGGAGAUGGGAGAAACUUCCAGAAGGACAAAGAUCUCUGCAGCACUCCACCAAUCAGGCCUUAAUGGCAAGAGUGGCCAGACGGAAGCCACUCCUCAGUAAAAAGGCACAUGACAGCUCGCUUGGAGUUUGCCAAAAAGCACCUAGACUCUCAGAUAAUGAGAAAAAAGGUUAUCUGGCCUGAUGAAACCAAUAUUGAACUCUUAGGCCUGAAUGCCAAGCGUCACAUCUGGAGGAAACCUGGCACCAUCCCUACGGUGACGCAUGGUGGUGGAAGGAUCAUGCUGUGCCAGGGACUGGGAGACUUACCAGGAUCAAGGCAAAGAUGAACAGAGCAAAGUACAGAGGAAUCCUUGAUGAAAACCUGCUCCAGAGUGCUCAGGACCUCAGACUGGGGCAAAGAUUAUCCUUCCAACAGGACAACGACCCUAAGCACACAGCCAAGACAAUGCAGCAGUGGCUUUGAGACAAGUCUCAAUGUCCUUGAGUGGUCCAGCCAGAGCCCAGACUUAAACCCUUUUGUACAUCUCUGGAGAGACCUGAAAAUAGCUGUGCAGUAACGCUCCCCAUCCAACCUGACAGAGCUUGAGAUAAUCUGUAGAGAAGAAUGGGAGAAACUCCCCAAAUACAGGUGUGCCAAGCUUCUAACGUCAUACCCAAGAAGACUCAAUGCUGUAAUCACUGCCAAAGGUGCUUCAACAAAGUACUGAGUAAAGGGUCUGAAUACUUAUGUAAAUGUGAUAUUUUUUUCGUAAUAAAUUUGCAAAUAUUUCUAAAAUCUGUUUUUUCUUUGUCUUUAUGGGGUAUUGUAUGUAGAUUUAUGAGGGAAAAAACAAAAUGUGGAAAAAGUCAAGGGGUCUGAAUACUUUCCAAAGGCACUGUAUGUUCUCCCCCUGUGGUACAGUAUAUGCAUGGUAUUUUACAUGUGGAGAUACAAAUUCCUAUUCGGAGCUUUAGUGCUCCAAAAUCAUUAUUAUGUUAGUUUUCUUGUUGAGAUUAUGAAUAUAAAAGUAAAUAAAGUGCUAAAUAAAAUGCAGAAUUGUGUGCACACCAGCAUGAGUGUGCGAGUGAGAUGUUCUUACGUUGCCAGAGCACUCUGCUCCUGUCUCUCCUGCUCACUUGUGAUUUUGGAGUUGUAGUCUCUGGCUCGGAUCUCCCACACAUUUUUCAUCAGGUUGGCAUCACAGCCCCCCCCCAUCACCAGUGGGGCCAUCCCCACCGCCUCUGGUAUCUUUACCACCACAGACAUGAUGUCUUUCUC